rnacentral:rRNA from 1 species
CAGUCGCCACGGUAAGACAGAGGAUGCAAGCGUUAUCCGGAAUGAUUGGGCGUAAAGCGCGCGUAGGCGGUUUUUUAAGUCUGAUGUGAAAACCCACGGCUCAACCGUGGAGGGUCAUUGGAAACUGGAAAACUUGAGUGCAGAAGAGGAAAGUGGAAUUCCAUGUGUAGCGGUGAAAUGCGCAGAGAUAUGGAGGAACACCAGUGGCGAAGGCGACUUUCUGGUCUGUAACUGACGCUGAUGUGCGAAAGCGUGGGGAUCAAACAGGAUUAGAUACCCCCGUAGUCCCUGUCUCUUAUAC